UUAAUUAAAUUAAGUGGCACCAAACGCUCGCCGCAGUUGAAUCUAUCGAGCACAGCGAUCUCCUCGGGAGUCAGCUCAAAAUCGAAGAUGUCGAAGUUCUCAGUUACGCGGUUAAUAUUGGACGACUUUGGGAUAGGUAGCUGAAAUGUGUUAUGUGCGGCGCAUCUGGUAUGCAAUAGUGGGCUUCUUUAGAAGAGGACGCGUACGUUUCAGCGUAAAUACAGUGGAGCGAGCAGAGUCGCGCGAAGAGACCCAUCGGGACAACAUUCGAGCAUAUGCAGAGGAGCAAAAGCGUUUGGCCAGAGAAAGGUACAAGCAACUUUGAACAGAUCGGCCAUUUAUUAAAAAAUGAAGAUUCGCAGGCCUCGAUUGAGUUUCCCCAGUUGCUGGAGUUCCAGCGGCGUGAGGCAGAAAUCAAAGAUAUCCAGGUUCUCGGAAAUGUGAAACUCCUGAGCCGCCUUUGGUAUGGGUAUCGUGCCAAUAUCCAGCUGGGUACAAUUAUACUAUUUAGCGAUUAAUGAUCUUUUUGUAAGUUAUCUGCUAAUUAUACCAAAUAUCUGAGUGCCAA